rnacentral:rRNA from 1 species
AUUGAACGCUAGCGGGAUGCUUUACACAUGCAAGUCGAACGGCAGCGCGGACUUCGGUCUGGCGGCGAGUGGCGAACGGGUGAGUAAUGUAUCGGAACGUGCCCAGUAGCGGGGGAUAACUACGCGAAAGCGUAGCUAAUACCGCAUACGCCCUACGGGGGAAAGCAGGGGAUCGUAAGACCUUGCACUAUUGGAGCGGCCGAUAUCGGAUUAGCUAGUUGGUGAGGUAACGGCUCACCAAGGCGACGAUCCGUAGCUGGUUUGAGAGGACGACCAGCCACACUGGGACUGAGACACGGCCCAGACUCCUACGGGAGGCAGCAGUGGGGAAUUUUGGACAAUGGGGGCAACCCUGAUCCAGCCAUCCCGCGUGUGCGAUGAAGGCCUUCGGGUUGUAAAGCACUUUUGGCAGGAAAGAAACGUCGCGGGCUAAUACCCCGUGGAACUGACGGUACCUGCAGAAUAAGCACCGGCGAACUACGU